GCAAUGGCGGCUCAAUGGUAGAAUUCUUGCCUUCCAAGCGGGAGAGCCAGGUUUGAUUCCUGGCCAGUGUA
rnacentral:tRNA from 1 species